UCCCUGAUCCCACAAUUGUACUUUCUGCCAUGCACAUAUAUCAUGGCAGGAAGCCUGGUUUUGGGAUCACACAUCAGAUCCCCUGGCACCUUUAGUUGAACGUCAGCCAGGGGCCUGAGUUGGAGACAUGGAAAUUCUGUAUAAUGGCAUUAAGUCUUUGUGACCAGCACUGACUGGUUUUCUUGAUCCUGUCAGGGGCAAAACCCUUUAAUGCAGAUGGGAGUAGUUCCAUUGACUUCAAUGGCCUGUAAAUCACAUCUUUAAGAAGCAUUUUCUCUUCUUUCAGUUUGAGCACUGGAAUGCUAUGUUUUGUGGGGUUGUAAAUCCCAUUUGUAAACCAAUGGUGAGUUAUUAGCCAUGAAGAAAUGGAGAUUACUCCAAGCAGAGAGAGAGGUACUGCUAUUCAGGCUGAGGAGAAAGUGGUGCUGUCCUUCAGAUCUAGAACUAUGCACGGAAACUAUCCACAAGAGAUACUAGGGUUCACAUGGGAUUCCUUCUCUCCCAGCCGUGCAGUCUCCUGUUGUGAGGAACAGACCAUGUGGACAAGUAAAGCCAGAGGCAAAAUCUG